rnacentral:rRNA from 1 species
GACGAACGCUGGCGGCGUGCUUAACACAUGCAAGUCGUACGGUAAGGCCCUUUAGGGGGUACACGAGUGGCGAACGGGUGAGUAACACGUGAGUAACCUGCCCACAACUUUGGGAUAACGCUAGGAAACUGGUGCUAAUACUGGAUAUGUGCUCCUGCUGCAUGGUGGGGGUUGGAAAGCUCCGGCGGUUGUGGAUGGACUCGCGGCCUAUCAGCUUGUUGGUGGGGUAGUGGCCUACCAAGGCGGCGACGGGUAGCCGGCCUGAGAGGGUGACCGGCCACAUUGGGACUGAGAUACGGCCCAGACUCCGACGGGAGGAAGCAGUGGGGAAGAUUGAACAAUGGGCGCAAGCCGGAUGCAGCAACGCCGCGUGCGGGAUGACGGCCUUCGGGUUGUAAACCGCUUUCAGCAGGGACGAAGCUUUUUGUGACGGUACCUGCAGAAGAAGCACCGGCUAACUACGUG